rnacentral:tRNA from 1 species
GGAGGGGUGGCAGAGCGGUCAAUUGCAACGGACUGUAAAUCCGUCGACUUAGUCUACGAUGGUUCGAAUCCAUCCCCCUCCACCA